GCACUUUGGGAGGCUAAGGCAGGAGGAUCAUUUGAGUCCUAGAGUUCCAGACCAGCCUGGGCAACAUGGUGAAACCCUGUCUCUACAAAAAUUUAAAAAAAAAAAACUAGCUGGGUAUGGUGGCCUGUGACUGUAGCCCCAGCUACUCAGGAGGCACACACAGACAGGGAUGAGCAUAUAAGGGCCCAGGGAGAAGAUGGAGUCUACCAGCCAAGGAGAGAGACUCAAGAGGAACCAACCUUGCCGUCACCUUGAUCUCUGCACAAAGUACAAGAAGGUAUUAGUUGUCCACAGACAAGAGAGCACCAUUAUCUGCCCAGAUUCUCAGGGAUCAGAAAUCAAGACAAAUCACGGCCCUUCCUGGAGUCCCACCCUUUCAUCAGCCAGAGAAGGCUGGAGCUCUGAGGAGAGGAGAGCUGUCCUAGAGCCUGGAGCCAGUUGGUGGCAACUCACCCAGUGCUCUUCUUGGCCGCUGACAGGACGUAGGAGUGCUCCCGGGGAGCUGUCCUCCUCAGAACACCGCUUGCAGCCUCUGACCUGGGG
rnacentral:lncRNA from 10 species